rnacentral:rRNA from 1 species
AUUGAACGCUGGCGGCAGGCCUAACACAUGCAAGUCGAACGAGUGGCGGACGGGUGAGUAAUGUCUGGGAAACUGCCCGAUGGAGGGGGAUAACUACUGGAAACGGUAGCUAAUACCGCAUACCAUCGGAUGUUCCCAGAUUGGAUUAGCUAGUAGGUGGGGUAACGGCUCACCUAGGCGACGCUCCCUAGUUGGUCUGAGAGGAUGACCAGCCACACUGGAACGGAGAAACGGUCCAGACGCCUACGGGAGGCAGCAGUGGGGAAUAUUGAACAAUGGGCGAAAGCCUGAUGCAGCCAUGCCGCGUGUAGUAAGAAGGCCUUAGGGUGGUAAAGUACUUUCAGCGGGGAGGCGUUACCCGCAGAAGAAGCACCGGCUAACUCCGUGCCAGCAGCCGCGGGAAUUC